AUAAAAAAUACUAAAGUUACGCUAAGAAUUUAUUUUUAACUUAAGUUUUAUUCAUAAAACAACUUAUGCCUAAGAAAAAUCUUAAGCAAUACUUAAAUCUAAGAGUCCUCUUGAGGUGUCUUAAAGUUCUAAGAAAAACUUAAGUUCAAAAUCAAAAUGGCUGCCUUCGGAGCACAAAGAAGAUGUUUUCGAAAAAGAAAAGACUGUUUGGUAGAGUACACUGAUGCUGAGCUUGUUGAGAGGUAUAGAUUUGAUUCCGCUGGUAUCCACUUUUUAGAGGGGUUGAUUGGAAAUGAACUUAUGAGUGGUUCACGAAGAAACUGUGCAAUUUCUCCACUGCAGAAAAUUUUACUAACACUGAGAUUUCUAGCCACCGGGAAAAUGGAGUUGUGCAAUGAAUACGACAUAGGUGUCUCGCAGCCCACCGUUUCUAGGGAAAUUACUGCCACUCUUAGAAGUCUCUUUGCUCCACAAAUUUGUGCCCAGUUUAUAAAAUUCCCACUUAAUGUUCACGAAGUUCCCAAAAAUCAAGAAUAGUUCUUCAAAAUCGCCGGAUUUCCUGGAAUUGUUUGGGCCAUCGAUGGCACACAUGUACAAACUAUCGCUCCUUCUGACUACGAAAACGAGUAUGUCAACAGACAUCAUUACCACAGCAUUAACACACAGGUCGUCUUUGAUCCAUUCCACAAGAUAAUUGAUGUCGUAGCGAAAUGGCCAGGGUCAACACAUGACUCAAGGAUCUUGAACGAGAGUGGACUCAAGUCAUUGUUUGACCAGAACAGAAUCCCUCUUCACACGCAUUUGCUAGGGGACAGCGGGUAUAGGGUAUCCUUCAAAGAGAUGGCUCCUAACUCCAUUUUUGCGACCAAACCAAGGUUGUCAAACAAACUACAACAGGGCUCAUAAGAAAACAAGAAGCAUUGUGGAGAGAGGCAUAGGUCAGCUGAAGAGACGGUUUCAUGUUCUGCAUGGAGAGAUUAGACUGUCUCCAGACAAGACAUGUCAAGUUAUUGUUGCUUGCUGCAUCUUGCAUAACAUUUGCAAGGACAGGCAGAUCCCAUGUCCCCUGGAUGAUGGUGACCUGGAUGACAAUCAACAGGAUGAUGGUGAUGGGUUGAAUGUACAAAUUGGCCAGAAUGUCAAUGAUGGAAUUCGGUACAGACAAUUGUUUGCUGAAACUCACUUUUGACAGACUAGUGCUACUGCUGUAUUCAGCAUGAGUAGCUGGCGUUUGCUGGGACGCUGCUGUUCUAGCAGGGGGCGGGGAAGUUAUUGUGGCUGCAGUGUCUUGUGUAGUGCCUGUGGAAAUGAUGUGUGGCUCUAUGUCUG